rnacentral:rRNA from 1 species
GUCGAACGAUGACCGCUUUCGGGCGGGGAUUAGUGGCGAACGGGUGAGUAACACGUGGGCAAUCUGCCCUGCACUCUGGGACAAGCCCUGGAAACGGGGUCUAAUACCGGAUAUGACUGUCCAUCGCAUGGUGGAUGGUGUAAAGCUCCGGCGGUGCAGGAUGAGCCCGCGGCCUAUCAGCUUGUUGGUGAGGUAGUGGCUCACCAAGGCGACGACGGGUAGCCGGCCUGAGAGGGCGACCGGCCACACUGGGACUGAGACACGGCCCAGACUCCUACGGGAGGCAGCAGUGGGGAAUAUUGCACAAUGGGCGAAAGCCUGAUGCAGCGACGCCGCGUGAGGGAUGACGGCCUUCGGGUUGUAAACCUCUUUCAGCAGGGAAGAAGCGAAAGUGACGGUACCUGCAGAAGAAGCGCCGGCUAACUACGUGCCAGCAGCCGCGGUAAUACGUAGGGCGCAAGCGUUGUCCGGAAUUAUUGGGCGUAAAGAGCUCGUAGGCGGCUUGUCACGUCGGUUGUGAAAGCCCGGGGCUUAACCCCGGGUCUGCAGUCGAUACGGGCAGGCUAGAGUUCGGUAGGGGAGAUCGGAAUUCCUGGUGUAGCGGUGAAAUGCGCAGAUAUCAGGAGGAACACCGGUGGCGAAGGCGGAUCUCUGGGCCGAUACUGACGCUGAGGAGCGAAAGCGUGGGGAGCGAACAGGAUUAGAUACCCUGGUAGUC